rnacentral:rRNA from 1 species
CCUACGGGAGGCAGCAGUGGGGAAUAUUGCACAAUGGGCGCAAGCCUGAUGCAGCAACGCCGCGUGAGGGACGACGGCCUUCGGGUUGUAAACCUCUUUUAGUAGGGAAGAAGCGAAAGCGACGGUACCUGCAGAAAAAGCACCGGCUAACUACGUGCCAGCAGCCGCGGUAAUA